UUAGACAGCUAAUUUAAGUUUGUAGAAAAUUAUGUUCGAUUAAAAAUUAAAAUAAGAUAGUGUACUUACGCUUGGAUCACGCAUAUCGCCGCCGUCACGUUGGUUGUCAUCUGAAGCAUCAUCAUUGCCCGAAUAAGAAUCGCCCAUUUUGCAAUCGCCCAUCUCAGAGUCCUGUAGAGCAUAAAAAAUAUUGAAUUUUAAUGUUUCACAACAACAACAAUAGUGACUUCUAUGCUGCAGUUACUUACAUUCAUCAUGCCGUCACGUUCAAAUUCAUCAUAAUCAUUUCCGGUACCAUUGGAGCUGCCCGACAAUUUCCGCGGCCUACCACGUUUUCUUUUCGGCAUCGAUGCAAGUGCUGAGCUCAACAGCGACUGCUGUUGCUGCUGCGUAUGUUGGCCGCCAGCCAUUGUUUGGGCACCAGUCAUGCCAACAGCACCGGUGUUUGAACCAGCCAAUAGACUAUUCUGUGAUUUACUACGUUGAUGUUGUUGUUGUUGUUGUACCAAAUAUGGUUGUAUACGUUGUAGUUGUGGUGGUGGUGGCGUCGGCGCAACCGGUGAUGGUUUAUCAUCAUUCACUUCGGUCAAACCCUUAAUACGUAACGAUUCGGCGACACGCAAGAAAGCGGUAAGACGUUCCUGAUCCACAGAAACUUCACCGCGAUACAUAAAAUCAAGUAGAGAUUUCAUAUCGGAGUAUGGUACAUCCUUUAAAAUGACAAUUGGAUGCUUUUCUGGAUGAUGUACGAAGAGCGCAUUAAAAUACGGACUACAGGCAGAUAGAACCAUCUGUUGGUGGAGAAGAAAAGACAAAAUGCGACGAUAAAUCAAGCAGACAAUUACUGAUUGGUACUACUCUCGAACUAUACGAAAGGAUAAGGUAUCACGAAAUCACAUGCGAGACAACCCAAAGUAAACACUGGCAGCAUAUUGAAUAUGGCGAAGUAAAACGGCACAGACUAUCAAAUACACACGAUAACAACAGAACUAAGUAAAAUUAAUAUCAUUAUGAAAAACCACUGAGAUCAAAUUGACGUCCAUCCGCCGAUGAGUAACAUAGGACGCAUGUGCGAAAGUCAACCAAAAUACAAAUUCAAUAUAAAUACAUAUAAAAGCAAACAAGGAAGACUGAGUUACGAGUGGUAAGUGACUCAAUGGAGUGGAGGAGGGUGGAUAAAAUGCACAUAUACAGAUACAUACAUACAUAUAUAUGCCGCGUAUUGUGUCAGAGAACUGAUAACAGGUUAGACAAUAACAAAGUGUAAUGAAAGGAAUCAUCAUAUAGGUAUGUACAUAUAUACAAACAUAUAAUGGAGAAUAUCAAGGCAUGCAAAUCGUGGAAAGCAAAUAAAAAAUUAGCAGACAACGCUCUCUAUAGAACAAAUGAAAGCAGAGAGCAGAGCAUAAACAAGCAACACAUGAUUGAGAGUAAUGAACUGAUAAUGCAGAGGUGAAAGUCAUAAAGCACACACACAUGAAUGAAGCAUAUAUGUAUAUUUACUCUGACUCAGUUGGCAAGUAAAGCGAUAAGCGCUAACAAUUUUUGGAGAAAUUGAGUAAGCAUGAGAGGGAGUACAAUACAAAUGAGCGCACCGCAAGCACACGAUCAGUGAAUAAGUUGCCAGUAAUCAACUAUUUAAUGAGCAUACGAAUGCAUUCGCGAAAAAUCAUUAUUGUUGCAAAUAUUUGUUAGUAACAAUUGCAUAUAUGUGUCUGUGUACAGAUUUACAAUACAACACAAAUAGCAAAUGAAUAAUGUAUUUGUUGUUAAAUGCACAUGAACUAUAACAGCGGGGCAAAAAAAUAAAUGAAAAUAUGCAACUGAUAA